rnacentral:rRNA from 1 species
AUUGAACGCUGGCGGCAGGCCUACCACAUGCAAGUCGAGCGGGCGGCGGAAGUGUUAGUAAUGUAUGUGGAUAUGCCUGAUAGAGGGGGAUAACUACUGGAAGCGGAGGCUAAUACCGCAUACUAUCGGCUGCAACCCAAUGGGAUUAGCUAGGAGGUGGGGUAAAGGCUUACAUAGUCGACGAUCUCUAGCUGGUCUGAGAGGAUGAUCAGCCACACUGGGACGGAGACACGGCCCAGACUUCUACGGGAGGCAGCAGUGGGGAAUAUUGCACAAGGGGCGCAAGCCUGAGGCAGCCAUGCCGCGUGUAUGAAGAAGGCCUUAGGGUUGUAAAGUACUUUCAGUGGGGAGGCGUUACCCGCAGAAGAAGCACCGGCUAACUACGUGCCAGCAGCCGCGGUAAUUC